GCCAGUGUGGUGUAGUGGUUUGAGUGCUGGUCUACGACUCUGGAGAUCAAGGUUCGAAUCCCUGCUCAGCCA